UGCUGUAGUUUUGUGUUGAUUCAUUGCUAUAUUUGUUGCGUGCUUUCAUUAAAAAAAUUGAUUGCUGUGUUGCAAUAAAUGAACCACUUGGACCUGUUAACAUACCUUAUCCACAGAUCUGUCUAAAUUCGAAUAGAUGCCGGAAAAGUGAACUGCAAAUGGAAGGACUUCAUUCUCAGAAUUUCGAAUUGGUAUUUCGACCACUGGGAGUGCAAGGCUGCAAUGAACUUUCGAUGAAUUUGACUCGGUGAGCAUGAAUACCUCGACAAUGGUCCAGCCUUGGCCUUCAUAAAGUAGCGCAUCUUGCUGAUUCAAAGUUCCGAGAUGGAAAACUUGCCAAUUGUAUGGUAAAACUGCGUAUUUCAGUAUUCUUGUCCCUGGCUGACUUCUGAAAUCAUGAAACAGUAACGUUUAUUUCAUGAUUUUAUAUGUGAACUUGGACCUUAAAAACGUUCAUUGAUAUGUUUAGUUAGCACUUUCUGAAAUACUUUUCCUCAAGCUUGUACACUUCGAUAUAAAAUCAAAUUUAACUUAAUUGAUAGUAAACGAUAUCCUACAAUUGUACAGGGGACUUCAAUGUAUGUGCUAGUAGGCUUCCAAUACUUUUAUUCUUUAACAUUAAAAAGUGAUUGUUUUAUACAUCCAAUUUUGAAUAAUUUCGAAUGAAACGGACCAAACUACUUGAAUUCUAGCAAUCCCUACAUAGCUAGAGUUUAAUGUUGACAUAGGGUCCAGUCGUGAAUUCUUUUCUAGAUUAAAAUCGGUACAAAAAACUGCAGGUUACAGAUAUCGGUUUUUGCGAACUUGGGUGAACAUUCGUUGAAAAUCUAUUGGCUUAAUGGCACUUCAAUAGCAAUGACCAAAAUUCCAACUAUAAAUCUACAGAAUCGUCUGUUUGGCUUUCGCCUGAUUUAUUUAGAUUUGAGUUCUACCUUGUAUAGUUCACUCGCUUCUUAAGCUGUAUCAAAAUACGUAAGAUUAUUAUCUUGGACAGUACAUCUUACCUUCACAAUUGCAGUAACGAAUCGAGCUUCUCUGUAUGAGAUCAAUAUCUCAAACGAAGUUAGUGAUAAAGAUAUUUAAAAAUCGAUGUCCACUCCACCCCUUAAUAACCUAAACUUCCUUCGUUGUAGGCUUUUUUGACUCGAUUAUAUACGGAUUUCGCAAUAUUCUAGUCAUAAUGACUAUUCUUUUUCUCGAAGUUUCAUUGCAAUUCUCAAUAAUUACACUAUGCAAUUAUUUAAUGUACUCCUAUCUCUGUUGCUAAGUUUAAUUGUUUUCUCAAAGCCAUUGAAGCAUCAAACUAUCGAAAUAGAGAAGACAAAUUUGUCAAUGGGGAAUUUAUUAAAAUAGAAACUAAACCUAAAUCUUGAUUUGUGGCGUGGAAAAUUAAACCUUGCCAGGUUUCAACUGUCCUUUAAAAAACGCAACUUUUCCAUACAUGGCUUCUAUAUUAAAAUUCUUUAAAUAAGUUAAUUAUAAUAAUUUAAUGUAUACACCAAGUGUAGGAUCUGAAUCGGAGCAAACAAUUCUUUGAAUUUAAUUGACACGAGUCUUGGUUAACGACUACAAAUGCCAAUAUUGAAAAUAGAAAUUGCACUUAACUGGUUCACCGGGGUCGAAACUAAAGAAUAAAGUUUCGAGAAAGGUUAGUAUGGAAUGGAGGGUAACACGUUAAUAUGCUGGUCCCUGUUUACUUUCCGUCUAGACUGUUUGGGACCGGCGGUCUAAAGGGAAAGUAUCGGUCCCCAGGAUACCAACAUUUAACGUGUUAAUUAUUUGGGUUGGUAGGAAAAAAUGAUCAAAUCUCUAAUUUUUAAAUUUAUGACGCGUAAAGUGGGAUUGGUAUUACUUUAACAGAUUAAAUCUUAGUAUGAUAGGGUCUAAAGGUAGGAACCUGUUAAGUGCAAUUUAUAUUUCAAAUAUUGGUAGCGACUAUUGUAAAUUUACAGCGAGGCUAGAUUUAAGCUGCUUUAAUCAUUGCAAUGUUAACAAAUUCUACACGGGAAUACCGUGUUUUGAACUUUUGCUCGUAUAUUUUUCAGUAAGAUAUGAAUUGCUCAAGAUAUUUUUAAUCGUAUAUUGACUUUAACCUUCCAAUCGAAUAUUACGGCAAAUAGUCUAAAAUAUCUCUUUGGUCUCCUGGCUGGUAUCAAAAUGAGGAUCUACUAAAAAUGGAUAAAAUAAUUCCACAUAAAAUCGUUUUAUGCCUUAACUUUAAUAAAAUGGAAUCUGCUAUAACUUUAGAUCAAUUCUUUGGCAAGAUAUUAGUUCCCUGAUUUGAGGAAGCCUGACAAGGAAGUUAAAUUAGAGGUUCAAAUUUUAACGCAUUCGUUCAAUUCCCAUCCCCCUUUCCUCAAUACUUUUUGAAUCUAAAAAUGCACUAUUUAAACGUGGUAGGAUUAUAAGAAGAUCGCAUAACAAAAUUAUCGGAAUAUCUUUGUCCGAGUUGAUGUCGUGGUUUAAAAUAAUUCUGUUUCCUAGAUUUAGAUUGGAAUGACAAUGGUAGGUGAAAUCCUUAGUCGCAUAGAAAUAACUCCUUUCAUUCUGACGCUUGUUUUUUCAAUCGUCCGAUAAUUUUCUAGGAAAAGGCUUGACCAGAAUAUUUAGGAUUCCAGUGCAAAGUAAUGUCCUUAACAGAUUUGAGAGCCAUUUCCGUGAUCGAAAUAGCCAUAGACUUGAUUGCGAACGGCGUCUUUACAACAAACCGUUUAAUUCGUGCAGCUAUGGAUUCCGAUUGAUCCAUUUUAAUUCAUCGCUAACAUAAAUUCAAUUCGUAUUAAGGUCCGUUUCAUUUUUAAUCUAAAGUUUACAUUAAAUCGUUUUUAAUUUACUGCAGAAAGCUUCAACAAUGUCUCGCUCGAUUAAUUUUUGUCCUAAUUUUCGUACAAGAAACUUUAAAUGGUACUCGCUUUUCUUUUCAGAACUUGCAUAUUCUUCAAAUAACGACUUCAGAAUUUGCAUCGCAUGCUUUUAUGUCGAUGGUUAUAUUCCAUAGUUAAAAUCUCUUCAAUUCAGCAGUUAUGCAAGAUUUAAAAAUAUUCGGCUUUCAUUGAAGUUCCCUUGCCAUUUUAAAGAUCUUCAUUAAAGUAAGGCUUAAAUUUGUAAAUUUUGAAUAUUGUAUGUAAAUCCUAGUCAAUGUCUUAUCUG